CAGGAAGAGCACUUAGGGCUAUUUAGUGCCAUGAAUAUAUACAACCACCGAUGGCAACUACUUUCCAGUAUUCCUUAUCUUUCCCGAAGGAGUGCUGAACUUCUCAGCAGAGCUACAGAGGCAGCACCAAGGACUGUGUGCUAUAGAGGGUGACGGAAGCAGGGUGCAUUGACGCAGGAAGGAAGUAGGGUGCUGCUGAGCACUGUAAAUACAACAGCUCAGCACAGAGAGGGCUGAAUCCUUCAUGUUGCCAUGCUGAAGUGGUCCUUGGUCAGUCUUCAGCCUCCUUGUGAUCCUACAGGCAGUCACGAAUGUUAGAGUACAUGGGAAGCACCUGAGAGCAGCAAAUCUACAGCCACUCAUUGGAAUCACUUUUCUGGAACUAUUUCCCUCAAAAAUCCAUUUCAGAGAGGACUUUAAUGUGGAUCUCUGAAGCCUGGAAAAUAAGUAACAGUUGUGGGGUAAUUAACCUAAAUUAGCUAUUACUAAUUUUUUUUGUAGAAGUAAAUUCCUAGAUGUAGAAAUCAACCCACAGAACAGUAGGAAAAUGAAUAUGGAAAUACCAGCAUGAAAGAAAUCAGGAAACCUGUUUAUCCGCCGUGUUCUGCCAAAUGAACAAUCAGAAAAUGUGGUGGUUUUUUUCUCCUCAUGGCUUUUUCAGUUACAAGAAUUUAGGCAAAGUGAGAGGUACAUCAGCAACAGCUCUCUGAGGAGAGGUUGUGUGAGCUGGACUGCAGGCGUGCGGAGACAGCCUUCACGUUUAUUGGAAGGUUUGCUUGAAACCGGAUCAAAGGGGAGUGAUUCCCACCCCUUCGUUAGUCUUAACCAGUGAUUAAGAAAUAAUGAUGUUAACGAAACAAGUCUGAAAAUUUUCAUCUUUUUCAUCAUCUCCUUUGAAGGUUUACAUAAAAGAAGGUAGGACUGAGCUUAGACAUAAAACUUUUCUUUAAUACACUGCAUAAAACCAUUUUUCUAAAAAUAUUUAAAUGGUAAAUUACUCCCACCUUUUCUUAAGUAGAAAAUGUCUUGUGAGAUCAUGCUUCUCUCUUUUCUAUAAAACAUGAUUUUUCUAUAUGCAGAAAUAUUAGGAAUUGUUUCUGUUUUGGGUAUGUGCCAGAAUUUAACUCCUCACACUUUUAUGUUUUCAAGUACUGAAAGAAAAAUGAUUUAAAAAAAAAAAAAAAAGUUUUCUGUGACUGAAACAGAGCUCAUUUACCUUUGUAAUUUUCUAUUAAUUUACUACUAGGAUUCAUUUUGCAUUUAAUUCAGUCCUCUAAUGGCUUAAAACUGUGUCUUUGGUCUUUACACAUUUGUGGUCUCAGUCGUGUCAAGCUUUUUCAUCUACUUUAUGUUCAUUUAUUUUAACUUUUAGUGGUCUUCUAGCCAAUUCUUUAUCCUUUUUAUUACAAGAGCAUGAAAUUUUAUAAUGCCCUAGAGCUUUGUUAGUCAGCUGCUACAAGGUUCUUAACCUUAGUUAAUUUAUUCUUUCACUUUUGACUUUCAGAUAUGGAGCAUGCUUUAAUAUUUUGGUUUUGAAUAUGAAAGCAACUUUUAUUAAGUAGGUUUACUGCAUUAAUAGAUCUUUAUUUCAUUUUACAGUAGUGUUUAGCUAUACAAUAUAUCAUUUUACAUAAUAAUUUAUAAUUUGGGGUAAUAUAAUUUAAACUUUUUCUAUAUUAAAAUGUUGCUAAUAUAAAAA
rnacentral:lncRNA from 1 species